rnacentral:rRNA from 1 species
CGGGGUGAGUAAUGUCUGGGAAACUGCCUGAUGGAGGGGGAUAACUGCUGGAAACGGUAGCUAAUACCGCAUAACGUCGCAAGACCAAAGAGGGGGACCUUCGGGCCUCUUGCCAUCGGAUGUGCCCAGAUGGGAUUAGCUAGUAGGUGGGGUAACGGCUCACCUAGGCGACGAUCCCUAGCUGGCUGAGAGGAUGGCCAGCCACACUGGAACUGAGACACGGUCCAG